GGAGAGAUGGCAGAGUGGUCGAAUGCGGCGGUCUUGAAAACCGUUAUCCCGUUUGCGCGGGAUCGGGGGUUCGAAUCCCCCUCUCUCCU
rnacentral:tRNA from 1 species